ACCUGGCUGGCUCAGUCAGUAGAGUAUACGACUCUUGAUCCCAGGACUGUGAGUUCAAGUCCCAUGUUGGGUG
rnacentral:tRNA from 1 species